AAGAAAAAAAAAAGAGAAAGAGAGAAAAGAGCGAGAGAGAGAGACGCGAUUGUGAGAGGAGGGAAGGGUCGAACGGCAUCGACGGCUGAAAGAGAAGGGUCGCGUUGUGUUGCACAAUACCGCAACCAAAGGAGAAGAAGAGAGAGAAUAGUCAUGAUUGGGUAGAGAGAGAGAUAGAGAGAGAGAGAAAAAAGAAGAAGAAUAAUAAUAAUAUAAAAAGAAAGGAAAAAAAAAGAAAAAGAAGAAGAAAAAAAAAAGAAGAGGAGAGGGAAAGGCCACAGGAAGAGGAAGGAAGAAGAAAAGAAAGAAAAAAGAGAAAGAAAAGAAAAAAAGAAAAAAAAGAAAGAAAAGAAAAAAAAAAGAAAAAAAAAAGGGAGUGCAACGACUGAAUAUGUUGUUGGUACACCGUAUGCGGCAACACGCACGGAUCCCAACAUCAGUGUGUAGCAUUUUUGGUGACACGCAUGUAAUGGUGCAUGGUGACGUUGAUGACCUAGUCUGCGUGUCUAAAGGUAAAAUAUAUUCUUAAUUUCGCAUAAUACAAUUUCUAAAAUUAUUUAUAAUUUAAUAUAUAUGUUUUCUAUUAUAAAUGAAAAAAAUUAUCCAAAUGGUAUUUGGAUUUAUGAGAGAACUGUAGAUCGAGUUAGAAAGAAUUUCUAAACUUUUUUCGAUCACACCAUAUGUAAAAACUAUGUGUAUUCCGUACGGAGAUAUAAAUUAUAUAUUUAUGUAAAUAUAUAUAUGUAUAGUGCAUUAUGUGUGAAUGUUUAAAUAUAUAUGUAAUAUAAUAUUAAUAUAAUUAGUAUGUCUAAUUUGUAUAUGUGUAGUUAUAUAGUAUAUAUACAUACAUUGUUACACAUGUGUGUGUGUGUGUGUAUAAAAAUAUACAAUAAACGAGAUAUGAAUUGAUAAGAACAAAUACGUGAAUAAAUACAUAUAUGAUAUAUUGUAUGUGAUUGUAUCUACAUAUUUAAGUACGAACAUGUGUGUAUGUUUCGUUAGAGAUUGUGUGUAUAUGAAUAUAAAUAUAUAUUUUGUUUGAGACAUAUAUUGACAAUACAUGUUUGUAUUAUAAUAUAUGUGUGCGUAGCAUGUGAAUUGUAUAACCAGUGUGUGUACGUAUAAAAUUUAGGUACACUGCACUUACUGUGUGAUUUGGUGCAGAUGUACGACGCACUGUAUUUAUUGUGUGAUCUAAUACAGUUACGCAAGAAAUCUGAGUAUCCUGUGCUUAUUGUGUAAUCUGAUACAAGAUGAUUUAUAAAGUGGUUUGAAAUGUAUAGUUCUUAUGUGC
rnacentral:lncRNA from 1 species